GAUGAACGCUAGCUACAGGCUUAACACAUGCAAGUCGAGGGGCAGCAUGAACAUAGCUUGCUAUGUUUGAUGGCGACCGGCGCACGGGUGCGUAACACGUAUCCAAUCUGCCCGUCACUCGGGGAUAGCCUUCUGAAAGGAAGAUUAAUACCCGAUGGCAUGCAUUUCCGGCAUCGGAGAUGCAUUAAAGAUUUAUCGGUAACGGAUGAGGAUGCGUACGAUUAGCUAGUUGGCGGGGUAACGGCUCACCAUGGCUACGAUACAUAGGGGGACUGAGAGGUUAACCCCCCACACUGGUACUGAGACACGGACCAGACUCCUACGGGAGGCAGCAGUGAGGAAUAUUGGUCAAUGGACGCAAGUCUGAACCAGCCAUGCCGCGUGCAGGAAGACGGCUCUAUGAGUUGUAAACUGCUUUUGUACAAGGGUAAACCCUGGGACGUGUCCCAGGCUGAAAGUACUGUACGAAUAAGGAUCGGCU
rnacentral:rRNA from 1 species